UGCCAAACCAUUGACUGGGAUUCAUGGGU
rnacentral:piRNA from 1 species